UACGAAGGGGGCUAGCGUUGCUCGGAAUCACUGGGCGUAAAGCGCACGUAGGCGGAUUGUUAAGUCAGGGGUGAAAUCCUGGAGCUCAACUCCAGAACUGCCUUUGAUACUGAGGAUCUUGAGUUCGGGAGAGGUGAGUGGAACUGCGAGUGUAGAGGUGAAAUUCGUAGAUAUUCGCAAGAACACCAGUGGCGAAAGGCGGCUCACUGGCCCGAUACUGACGCUGAGGCACGAAAGCGUGGGGAGCAAACA
rnacentral:rRNA from 1 species